rnacentral:misc_RNA from 1 species
AGCAGCCGCGGUAAUUCCAGCUCCAAUAGCGUAUAUUAAAGUUGCUGCAGUUAAAAGCUCGUAGUUGAAUUUCGGGACUAAUAUGUCGGUCGUGCCUCGGUACGUACUGGCUUAUUGGUUUCUCCUUUCUGAAGAACCAUGAUGUCAUUUAUUUGGUGUCGUGGGGAAUCAGGACUGUUACUUUGAAAAAUUAGAGUGUUUAAAGCAGGCUUACGCUUGAAUACAUUAGCAUGGAAUAAUGAAAUAGGACGUUUGAUUCUAUUUUGUUGGUUUCUAGGAUCGACGUAAUGAUUAAUAGGGAUAGUUGGGGGCAUUAGUAUUCAAUUGUCAGAGGUGAAAUUCUUGGAUUUAUUGAAGACUAACUACUGCGAAAGCAUUUGCCAAGGAUGUUUUCAUUAAUCAAGAACGAAAGUUAGGGGAUCGAAGACGAUCAGAUACCGUCGUAGUCUUAACCAUAAACUAUGCCGACUAGGGAUCGGAUGAUGUAAUUUUUAAUGACUCAUUCGGCGCCUUAGGGAAA